GCCGGGCGCGGGGUUCCGGACUGGCGGGGGCGCGAGGGGGCCGCUGCCGCCGCCGAAGUUGGGCAGAGAGCGGGCGACGGCCCCGCGCAGGGUCGCAGGGUGCCAAGGUGUGCAGGGCUCCUGCGACCGUCUUCCUGAUGUUGCCAAGCCGAAGGCAGCCCUGAGCAGACACCAGUGUCAUUGUUCGACCCUUGGACUUCAGGACAGGACCUCCUGAACUAGCCUCUUGAGGGCCACCUCCGGGAACUUUCUUGAGGAAGAUAGUGGCAGAUUUGGCUUUCCUGUGCCCUCUGCCAUGUCAGCGAGGCCACUAAGGGAGUCACGACUGUGAAGACGCAUUCGCGGUGCCCACAGACACGCCCUCCCAAGGGGUGUGGGUUCCUGGAGGCCUGUCUUCCCUGUUGGGUGUUCCUAAGUUCACCGUGAAAGUCUUGUGGUUGUGGAGCAGGCCCAGAGCAGCCUCUGGGCCUGCAGAUGCCGCAGCGGCAGGCUUGUCCCCUCUCCCAGGCAGUCUGGAGGGGAGGCCUGCUUAGUUGGGCCCUCGUGUGGACAUGGACGCCCCUCAGGAGGGACCCUACCCUAGUUAGCGGUUGAUAUGGUGUGCUGAGUGUCAUACCCAGCAGGCUUGGCAGGCCAGGCUCUGCAGGUGGCAGGGAGGCUGUCAGCAGCUUUGGGGUUGAGAACCAACGGUGCGGAUUUGCUGCCACUGGCCCGCGACCCUCUGUGAACCAGCCCCUGGAGGGUCAAGCAGGAAUCUGAGGCCAGGCAGGGCACCGGUGCCUUUCCCCACAACACAGUCUGCCCUCAGAGCAACCCCAAGGAGGGCGGCCCUGUACUCACACCAUGCAGCGUCCUGCCCUGCCUUCCCCCGGCUUGAGGGGAGCUAAAGAAGAGGGAGACAGAGGAUGAGAUGGUUGGAUGGCAUCAGCGACUCAAUGGACAUAAAUUUGAGCAAGCUCCAGGAGGCGGUGAAGGACAGGGAAGCCUGGCGUGCUGUGGUUCAUGGGGGUCACAGAGAUUUGGACAUGACUGAGCAACUGAACGACCACUGGCCUUUCCUCCCCUCAGCACACCUCACAUUGUAGUUUUCAAAGUACAGUUUAAAACUCAAAAGUAAACCUUUCAGCAACUCAAAAA